rnacentral:rRNA from 1 species
UACGUAGGCAGCAAGCGUUGUUCGGAGUUACUGGGCGUAAAGGGGGUGUAGGCGUUUCCUUAAGUUUGCUGUGAAAUCUCCCGGCUUAACCGGGAGGGUGCGGUGAAUACUGAGGGACUAGAGUACGGGAGAGGAAAGUGGAAUUCCUGGUGUAGCGGUGAAAUGCGUAGAUAUCGUAAGGAAGACCAGUGGCGAAGGCGGGUCUCUGGACAGUUCCUGACACUGAGGCACGAAGGCCAGGGGAGCAAACGGG